rnacentral:rRNA from 1 species
GACGAACGCUGGCGGCGUGCUUAACACAUGCAGGUCGAACGGAAAGGCCCUGCUUUUGUGGGGUGCUCGAGUGGCGAACGGGUGAGUAACACGUGAGUAACCUGCCCUUGACUUUGGGAUAACUUCAGGAAACUGGGGCUAAUACCGGAUAGGAGCUCCUGCUGCAUGGUGGGGGUUGGAAAGUUUCGGCGGUUGGGGAUGGACUCGCGGCUUAUCAGCCUGUUGGUGGGGUAGUGGCUUACCAAGGCUUUGACGGGUAGCCGGCCUGAGAGGGUAACCGGCAACAUGGGGACUGAGAGAGGCACAAGACGCGAAGGGGAGGCAAGGGGGGGAAGUAUGACGAAGGGGGGGGAAGCGGGUGAAGAAAGGCCCGGGGGGGGAAAAAGGGGUUUGGGGUGAAAAACGGCUUUGGCAGGAAAGAAGCGGGGAGUGACGGUAAUGGAUAAGAAAGCACCGGCUAACUACGUG